ensembl:rRNA 5S_rRNA 5S ribosomal RNA
GUCUACGGCCAUACCACCCCGAACACGCCCGAUCUCGUCUGAACUCGGAAGCUAAGCAGGGUCGGGCCUGGUUAGUACUGGGAUGGGAGAAGACAGAUUGAGGGUUAACA